rnacentral:rRNA from 1 species
AACGAACGCUGGCGGCAGGCCUAACACAUGCAAGUCGAGCGAGACCUUCGGGUCUAGCGGCGGACGGGUGAGUAACGCGUGGGAACGUGCCCUUUUCUGCGGAAUAGCCUCGGGAAACUGAGCGUAAUACCGCAUACGCCCUUUGGGGAAAAGAUUUAUCGGAAAAGGAUCGGCCCGCGUUGGAUUAGGUAGUUGGUGGGGUAAUGGCCUACCAAGCCUACGAUCCAUAGCUGGUUUGAGAGGAUGAUCAGCCACACUGGGACUGAGACACGGCCCAGACUCCUACGGGAGGCAGCAGUGGGGAAUCUUAGACAAUGGGGGCAACCCUGAUCUAGCCAUGCCGCGUGAGUGAUGAAGGCCUUAGGGUUGUAAAGCUCUUUCAGCUGGGAAGAUAAUGACGGUACCAGCAGAAGAAGCCCCGGCUAACUCCGUG